rnacentral:rRNA from 1 species
GACGAACGCUGGCGGCGUGCUUAACACAUGCAAGUCGAACGGAGUGGCGAACGGGUGAGUAACACGUGGGUGACCUGCCCUGCACUUCGGGAUAAGCCUGGGAAACUGGGUCUAAUACCGGAUAGUGUGGGAUGGGCACGGGGCCUAUCGGCUUGUUGGUGGGGUACUGGCCUACCAAGGGGGCGGCGGGGAGCCGGCCUGAGAGGGUGGACGGGCACAUGGGGCCUGAGGUACGGCGCAGACUCCUACGGGGGGCAGUAGUGGGGAAUAUGGCACAAUGGGCGGAAGUCUGAUGCAGCGACGCCGCGGGGGGGAUGACGGCCUUCGGGUUGUAAACUCCUUUGACCAUCGACGCGGUAGAUGGAGAAGAAGCACCGGCUAACUACGUGCCAGCCGCCGCGGUAAUAC